CGUAGGGUGCGAGCGUUAAUCGGAAUUACUGGGCGUAAAGCGUGCGCAGGCGGUUUGUUAAGAUAGGCGUGAAAUCCCCGGGCUCAACCUGGGAACUGCGCUUGUGACUGCAAGGCUAGAGUACGGCAGAGGGGGGUGGAAUUCCACGUGUAGCAGUGAAAUGCGUAGAGAUGUGGAGGGACACCAAUGGCGAAGGCAGCCCCCUGGGUCGAUACUGACGCUCAUGCACGAAAGCGUGGGUAGCAAACAGGAUUAGAUACCCUGGUAGUCCACGCCCUAAACGAUGUCAACUAGGUGUUGGGUGGGUAAAACCAUUUAGUACCGGAGCUAACGCGUGAAGUUGACCGCCUGGGGAGUACGGCGCAAGGUU
rnacentral:rRNA from 1 species